rnacentral:rRNA from 1 species
UAACACAUGCAAGUCGAACGGUAACAGGAAGAAGCUUGCUUCUUUGCUGACGAGUGGCGGACGGGUGAGUAAUGUCUGGGAAACUGCCUGAUGGAGGGGGAUAACUACUGGAAACGGUAGCUAAUACCGCAUAACGUCGCAAGACCAAAGAGGGGGACCUUCGGGCCUCUUGCCAUCGGAUGUGCCCAGAUGGGAUUAGCUAGUAGGUGGGGUAACGGCUCACCUAGGCGACGAUCCCUAGCUGGUCUGAGAGGAUGACCAGCCACACUGGAACUGAGACACGGUCCAGACUCCUACGGGAGGCAGCAGUGGGGAAUAUUGCACAAUGGGCGCAAGCCUGAUGCAGCCAUGCCGCGUGUAUGAAGAAGGCCUUCGGGUUUGUAAAGUACUUUCAGCGGGGAGGAAGGGAGUAAAGUUAAUACCUUUGCUCAUUGACGUUACCCGCAGAAGAAGCACCGGCUAACUCCGUGCCAGCAGCCGCGGUAAUACGGAGGGUGCAAGCGUUAAUCGGAAUUACUGGGCGUAAAGCGCACGCAGGCGGUUUGUUAAGUCAGAUGUGAAAUCCCCGGGCUCAACCUGGGAACUGCAUCUGAUACUGGCAAGCUUGAGUCUCGUAGAGGGGGGUAGAAUUCCAGG